rnacentral:rRNA from 1 species
CAACGGGGCUAAACCAUGCACCGAAGCUGCGGCAGCGACACUGUGUGUUGUUGGGUAGGGGAGCGUUCUGUAAGCCUGUGAAGGUGUGUCGUGAGGCAUGCUGGAGGUAUCAGAAGUGCGAAUGCUGACAUAAGUAACGAUAAAGCGGGUGAAAAGCCCGCUCGCCGGAAGACCAAGGGUUCCUGUCCAACGUUAAUCGGGGCAGGGUGAGUCGACCCCUAAGGCGAGGCCGAAAGGCGUAGUCGAUGGGAAACGGGUUAAUAUUCCCGUACUUGGUGUUACUGCGAAGGGGGGACGGAGAAGGCUAUGUUGGCCGGGCGACGGUUGUCCCGGUUUAAGCGUGUAGGUGUGUGUUCCAGGUAAAUCCGGUUCACUUUAACACUGAGGCGUGACGACGAGGCACUACGGUGCUGAAGCAACAAAUGCCCUGCUUCCAGGAAAAGCCUCUAAGCAUCAGGUAACAUCAAAUCGUACCCCAAACCGACACAGGUGGUCAGGUAGAGAAUACCAAGGCGCUUGAGAGAACUCGGGUGAAGGAACUAGGCAAAAUGGUGCCGUAACUUCGGGAGAAGGCACGCUGACACGUAGGUGAAGUGAUUUACUCAUGGAGCUGAAGUCAGUCGAAGAUACCAGCUGGCUGCAACUGUUUAUUAAAAACACAGCACUGUGCAAACACGAAAGUGGACGUAUACGGUGUGACGCCUGCCCGGUGCCGGAAGGUUAAUUGAUGGGGUCAGCGCAAGCGAAGCUCCUGAUCGAAGCCCCGGUAAACGGCGGCCGUAACUAUAACGGUCCUAAGGUAGCGAAAUUCCUUGUCGGGUAAGUUCCGACCUGCACGAAUGGCGUAAUGAUGGCCAGGCUGUCUCCACCCGAGACUCAGUGAAAUUGAACUCGCUGUGAAGAUGCAGUGUACCCGCGGCAAGACGGAAAGACCCCGUGAACCUUUACUAUAGCUUGACACUGAACAUUGAGCCUUGAUGUGUAGGAUAGGUGGGAGGCUUUGAAGCGUGGACGCCAGUCUGCAUGGAGCCGACCUUGAAAUACCACCCUUUAAUGUUUGAUGUUCUAACGUGGACCCGUGAUCCGGGUUGCGGACAGUGUCUGGUGGGUAGUUUGACUGGGGCGGUCUCCUCCUAAAGAGUAACGGAGGAGCACGAAGGUUGGCUAAUCCUGGUCGGACAUCAGGAGGUUAGUGCAAUGGCAUAAGCCAGCUUGACUGCGAGCGUGACGGCGCGAGCAGGUGCGAAAGCAGGUCAUAGUGAUCCGGUGGUUCUGAAUGGAAGGGCCAUCGCUCAACGGAUAAAAGGUACUCCGGGGAUAACAGGCUGAUACCGCCCAAGAGUUCAUAUCGACGGCGGUGUUUGGCACCUCGAUGUCGGCUCAUCACAUCCUGGGGCUGAAGUAGGUCCCAAGGGUAUGGCUGUUCGCCAUUUAAAGUGGUACGCGAGCUGGGUUUAGAACGUCGUGAGACAGUUCGGUCCCUAUCUGCCGUGGGCGCUGGAGAACUGAGGGGGGCUGCUCCUAGUACGAGAGGACCGGAGUGGACGCAUCACUGGUGUUCGGGUUGUCAUGCCAAUGGCACUGCCCGGUAGCUAAAUGCGGAAGAGAUAAGUGCUGAAAGCAUCUAAGCACGAAACUUGCCCCGAGAUGAGUUCUCCCUGAGACUUAGAGUCUCCUGAAGGAACGUUGAAGACGACGACGUUGAUAGGCCGGGUGUGUAAGCGCAGCGAUGCGUUGAGCUAACCGGUACUAAUGAACCGUGAGGCUUAACCUUACAACGCCGAAG